rnacentral:rRNA from 1 species
CGGACGGGUGAGUAACGCGUGGGUAACCUGCCUCAUACAGGGGGAUAACAGUUAGAAAUGACUGCUAAUACCGCAUAAGACCACAGCACCGCAUGGUGCAGGGGUAAAAACUCCGGUGGUAUGAGAUGGACCCGCGUCUGAUUAGGCAGUUGGUGGGGUAACGGCCUACCAAGCCGACGAUCAGUAGCCGACCUGAGAGGGUGACCGGCCACAUUGGGACUGAGACACGGCCCAA